rnacentral:rRNA from 1 species
UGUAGUCAUAUGCUUGUCUCAAAGAUUAAGCCAUGCAUGUCUAAGCACAAACCUUUACACGGUGAAGCUGCGAAUGGCUCAUUAGGCCACCCAUGAUUUCUUAGAUCGUACAAUCCUACUUGGAUAACUGCGGUAAUUCUGGAGCUAAUACAUGCCACAAAGCUCCGACCCCUAUGGGAAAGAGCGCGUUUAUUAGGUCAAAACCAAUCGGGUCCUCGCGGCCCGUAACUCUGAUGACUCUGGAUAACUUCGAGCUGAUCGCAUGGCCUCGUGCCGGCGACGUAUCUUUCAAGUGUGUGCCCUAUCAACUUUCGAUGGUACGUGAUAUGCCUACCAUGGUAGUAACGGGUAACGGGGAAUCAGGGUUCGAUUCCGGAGAAGGAGCAUGAGAAACGGCUACCACAUCCAAGGAAGGCAGCAGGCGCGCAAAUUACCCAAUCCCGACACGGGGAGGUAGUGACGAAAAAUAACAAUACGGGACUCUUUUGAGGCCCCGUAAUUGGAAUGAGUACACUUUAAAUCCUUUAACGAGGAUCAAUUGGAGGGCAAGUCUGGUAAUCG